rnacentral:miRNA from 1 species
UUUUUAACUUUACUGACAUGGCAU